UGGACUGGAACAAAGCUACGUGAAAAGAGAAAAGAAGCACCAGAAGAAGUCAAGACUCGGUGAGGCCGGGCAAAAUUGGCCCUUUUAAAGUCUUUGCUCUGUUCUCGUUACACGACAACGAGCAAAGAGGGGCAGCUGUACAGACUCAAUUCUACCCCGGUCUUAAACACAAAAAAAUAAACAAUUAAAAUACCCCAACCCAAACUAAGCCUACCCAUUACAAACCCAACAAACCGAAUAACAGACCCCAAAACAAGCCCAAACGAACCCACAGCCCAAAAUUUAAAAACCCAAUACCCACUUUCCGAAAAAAACAAAAGAAAACCCUAGCCCCCUCACCCUAGCCGCCGCACCUAGCCCACUUGCCCUGC
rnacentral:lncRNA from 1 species